CCCUAUAUAUCUAAGUAUAAGAUCUGGGUUCUUACCUCAGCAAUGUGGGUUUCACUAUAGGGU
rnacentral:tRNA from 1 species